GACGAACGCUGGCGGCGUGCUUAACACAUGCAAGUCGAACGAUGAUGCCAGCUUUCUGGUGGAUUAGUGGCGAACGGGUGAGUAACACGUGAGCAACCUGCCCCUGACUUCGUGAUAACCGCGUGAAACCGUGGCUAAUACCGGCUAUGACGCGCUAUCGCAUGGUGGUGUGUGGAAAGAUUUAUCGGUUGGGGAUGGGCUCGCGGCCUAUCAGCUUGUUGGUGGGGUGAUGGCCUACCAAGGCGACGACGGGUAGCCGGCCUGAGAGGGUGACCGGCCAGACUGGGACUGAGACACGGACCGGACUCAUACGGGAGGCAGCAGUGGGGAAUAGUGAACGAUGGGCGCAAGCCUGAUGCAGCGACGACGCGUGAGGGAUGACGGACUGCGGGUUGUAAACCUCUUUCAAUAGGGAAGAAGGCAUCGGGGGUGACGGUACCUGCAGAAGAAGCGCCGGCUAACUACGUG
rnacentral:rRNA from 1 species